rnacentral:rRNA from 1 species
GACGAACGCUGGCGGCGUGCCUAAUACAUGCAAGUCGAGCGAUUCUCUUCGGAGAAGAGCGGCGGACGGGUGAGUAACGCGUGGGUAACCUGCCCUGUACACACGGAUAACAUACCGAAAGGUAUGCUAAUACGGGAUAACAUAAGAAAUUCGCAUGUUUUUCUUAUCAAAGCUCCGGCGGUACAGGAUGGACCCGCGUCUGAUUAGCUAGUUGGUGAGGUAACGGCUCACCAAGGCAACGAUCAGUAGCCGACAUGAGAGGGUGAUCGGCCACAUUGGAACUGAGACACGGUCCAAACUCCUACGGGAGGCAGCAGUGGGGAAUAUUGCACAAUGGGCGAAAGCCCGGUGCAGCAACGCCGCGUGAGCGAUGAAGGCCUUCGGGUCGUAAAGCUCUGUCCUCAAGGAAGAUAAUGACGGUACUUGAGGAGGAAGCCCCGGCUAACUACGUGCCAGCAGCCGCAGUAA